rnacentral:misc_RNA from 1 species
AACAUCUCAAGCAUUGCCAAAAUGGUGAUUUUGCAGAUAACCUCAACAUAAUUUUCCAGAAAUGUUACACAAUCUAUCUAUAUAGAAAGACAAAUGCUUCAUCAAUAAGUAGAGGGUAAUAUCAAUUUUUUAUUUUUUUCAUGGCAAAAGAGAGCCGCAGGAUACAAUCAAUUGCCAGAAGGAACCUGAUCCUUUUAGUACUGAUGUCACAAAAUUUCACAUAUUAUCAUUUCCAACUUGCUAUACCUGCCAAAUAUCAUAUAGCAAUAGCAUCUGAAUAGCAAAAAUUUAUAGCAGUAGCAGUACACAGAUCUGAAAUAUUCAUAUGGACAAAAUGAUGACAACUCUUCUUAUAAUGCCAUCCUUCCUACGGCCUCCCCUCUAGAUGCCCAGUUCACAGCAUUAUCCAGCCAACAACAUGGCAUUAUCUUUCAGAAUGGAUGACCCUGUAAAGAAAAAGAAAAGGGAAACAGAAGAAAUUCUGUGGGCCCUAAAAAAAUUAGCCACCAAUUUGUAUGUGUGUUCCAUUUUAUAUGAAUGAUUCCUUCAAUUGUCCUAACUGACUUGCAGAAGAGAGCGUGAGAACAAAAAAAGAUUCUACCACCCCAAAAUGAAG